GCUCCUGUAGUCUAGCCCGGCCAAGGACGUCGCCCUCUCGAGGCGAAGACCCGGGUUCAAAUCCCGGCGGGAGCA
rnacentral:tRNA from 1 species